rnacentral:rRNA from 1 species
AGGACGAACGCUGGCGGCGUGCUUAACACAUGCAAGUCGAACGCGCUCCAUUCGGUAGCAAUACUGAUGAAGAGUGAGUGGCGAACGGGUGAGUACCACGUGAGCAACCUGCCCCGAAGACUGGGACAACACCGGGAAACCGGUGCUAAUACCGGAUACCCUUGUCAGAUCGCAUGAUCCGACAAGGAAAUGAGUUUUGCUUCGGGAGGGGCUCGCGGCCUAUCAGCUUGUUGGUGGGGUAACGGCCUACCAAGGCAUCGACGGGUAGCUGGUCUGAGAGGACGAUCAGCCACACUGGGACUGAGACACGGCCCAGACUCCUACGGGAGGCAGCAGUGGGGAAUCUUGCGCAAUGGGCGAAAGCCUGACGCAGCAACGCCGCGUGGAGGACGAAGGCUUUCUGAGUUGUAAACUCCUUUCAGCAGGGACGAUAGUGACGGUACUGCAGAAGAGCACCGGCCACUACGCGCCAGCAGCCGA